GUUGAACCGCAUGGUUCAACAUUGAAAGAUGGCUUUUGCUAUCACUUACAGAUGGACCCGCGGCGCAUUAGCUAGUUGGUGAGGUAACGGCUCACCAAGGCAACGAUGCGUAGCCGACCUGAGAGGGUGAUCGGCCACACUGGGACUGAGACACGGCCCAGACUCCUACGGGAGGCAGCAGUAGGGAAUCUUCCGCAAUGGACGAAAGUCUGACGGAGCAACGCCGCGUGAACGAUGAAGGCCUUCGGGUCGUAAAGUUCUGUUGUUAGGGAAGAACAAGUACCAGAGUAACUGCUGGUACCUUGACGGUACCUAACCAGAAAGCCACGGCUAACUACGUGCCAGCAGCCGCGGUAAUACGUAGGUGGCAAGCGUUGUCCGGAAUUAUUGGGCGUAAAGCGCGCGCAGGUGGUUUCUUAAGUCUGAUGUGAAAGCCCACGGCUCAACCGUGGAGGGUCAU
rnacentral:rRNA from 1 species